AUCACCAGCCCAAGGGUUUUCAUUUGUUGAAAACCAUCUGGCCUACAUAUGUGAUUUGAUUGUCACAAUGACUUAAAAAAAAUUGUUAACAUGUAACAAUUGGGAUAUUUUAAAUACAAUUGUGACCUUCCAGGUUUUCUUGAAAAAUUGGAAACCUGACACUCUGGGCUCUAAUUGCUGUAUGGCUACAACAGACUGAAGCUGAGCUGAUCUGCUGCUUAAACAGAGGAGUAUAUAGUACUAACAAGUUGGAGGCACAAACUGAGUCAGAAGCAAGUUUGGAUAAUUCCAAGCCAUCACAAACUCAUGCUCCAAAUGAACACAGGUGGGGAACCUGAGGCUCAGAGACAUGAAGUCAUCUGCCCCAAGGCACAAAUACUAAGUGACAGAGCCAGAAUUACAACCCAAAUGCAUCUGACACUAAAGCCUGCACUCUUUAGUGUCUCAAGGCCCUAC